AAAUAUUGGGGCAUCGGGGCAGUUGUAAAAACUAGUUCCUGUCUCGCGCGCCGACGACGACGCUUCUAAUUACCAAAGGUUGGUCGCAGACCCAGAGAAUGGGGCUAUGCUGUCGUUGCUCAAUCCAGCGUGGAGACCCUUAGCUCGAGUCGAGUUGAAAGGGUUAGCCAGCUCUAUAUCCCCUGGUUUUAAACAUCUAACUCUAAAUAAGCGGCGCGUUACCGAUAGCACACUUGUUUGAGUGAUCGAAAGGAUGAAAAGAACAAAGAAUUGAGAGUGAAACAGUACGUGAAAUUGUUGAAAGGGAAGCGCUUGCAAUCAGACUCGUCCGCGCUUGUUCAGCCUCUCCAAGGCGCAAGGUGGAUUCUUGCGCGGACGGGCCAGCAUCGAUUUCCCGCGCCGGACUUUGGUCUUGGGAAUGUAGCUCCAAACGGGGAGUGAAUUAGCCUGACCUGUAAUGCGGGGAGUCCCCAUUGAGGAGGGCGCUUUUGCUAGGAUGCUCCCGUAAUGGUUGCUAGCGAGGGGUCUUGAAACACGGACCAAGGAGUCGAGGUUCCGCGCGAGUGUUUGGGUGUCAAGCCCACAACGCGCAAUGAAAGUGAACGCAGGUGGGAAGCUUCGGCUGCACCAUCGACCGAUCUUGAUGUCAACGGAUGGAAAAGAGUACGAGCGCGUUUGGUCGGAGGGGUUUGUCAUGUGAUCUAUGCGUGAAUAGGGUGAAGCCAGAGGUUUCUCUGGUCCAGGCUCGCAGCGGUUCUGAGCUGCAAAUCGAUCGUCAAAUUUGCGCAUAGGGGCGUUUGACUAAUCGAACUCUGUAGUAGCUGGUUCCUGUCGAAGUUUCCCUCAGGAUAGCAGCAGCGAGCAACAGUCUCAUGAGGUAGAGCGAACGAUUAGACCACUCGCGCGCGCAAUGCCCUUCUCCUAUUCUCGAACUUCGAAUACGUGAGAAGGCCUGUUACUAAUGAACGUGACAAACGGAGAUCGCUUGCGAACGGAAAAUGUAUAUACUUCCC
rnacentral:rRNA from 1 species